GGUUGAGUAAUCUGUUUGCAUCUGGGUAGACCACACACAGACAAAUGUGAACUCUGUUUCUGUUCCUUUCCUUCCUGGGCACCUGAUUCCUCAGGGUCUCAGCUUUGGAAAGAGUGAUCGAUUGGAAAUUUACUGGUAUAGACUUGGAUGCAACAACUCACUUGAACCCAUCUGGGGAGCUGAUCCUCACCUUCACUGGGCUGCGGCAAAGGAGACGUUCUCAUCGACAGAUCCAGUGGGUCAGAGCAAUUGCAUAAGCAUCCUGUCUGAAUAUGAGAUAUUCAGUGUCAUCAAGACAGUCGAUAUUCUCAUUUUGUCAAGAAGGCAGUCAAAUCCUAGAAUUGUCCAAGAUUGCAGUAGCUAGGUCAUUUCCCAUUUCCUAUCACCAGUACUUCUCAGGAGUGAGUAGAAUUUUGUUUUGUUUCAGGGUGCCUCCUCCAGGCAAGUCAGCGAGCUCUGCUCCCAGAAUUCCUGAGGAGAGACAUUCCCAAUCUGCCCUUUCUUUCAUGUAAGCAUUAGGGGCCAAGAAGGAAGGGAUCAGGCUAAGGAGACUGAAAACUCCUGGGUCCACUCUGUACUUGUCCCUUCCAACCACAGCACUUCCUAGGGCCUCUUUCCCCAUCAUGAUGACCUGGAAGAAUCUUGACAGUGUUGCCAUCAGCGAGCUGAUGGGAGAGGAGUAAAUGAGGAAAAAUGGGGAGCCCCCCAUCAGGAAGAGGCUCAUUGGUAUCAUCGACCGAUCCUCGGAAGCCUGCUAACCCAAGUUUGGCAGCACUGCAAGACACUUGCUACCACAGUGAGCAUCAGAUUUGUUUUUAGGAAACAGAGUUACCACAGCUCAAAGUCCAGUGCUCUGCUAGGCAUCAUGAGACUUACAAAAGGAACGUGUAUGAAACAUGCAGGGGGGUUUACUUCAGUUGCUAAAGUCAAGAAUGUGUAUAAGACGUUCCCAUUAUGGCUUAAUGGGUUAAAAACCCGACAUAGUGUCUGUUAGGAUGCAGGUUAGAUCCCCAGCCUCACUCAGUGGGUUACUGAUCUGGCAUUGCUGCAGUUGGUGGUGUCGUAGGUCGUAGAUGGGGCUUGGACCCAGCGUUGCUGUGGCUGUGGCACAAACUGGCAGCUGCAGCUCCAGUUUGACCCCUAAACUGGGAACCUCCAUAUGCUGCAGGUGCUGCUGUAAAGAAAGAACGUGUAUAAAAAUGUUCAAAUAGGAGAUUGUAGGCUUCUUUGAGGCGCUGACCAUCAGCAUCAUAAAAACACUCCACACGAUUAUUAAUCCCUUGCCCAUUCCUGAUUCUAACACCCAAAGACUGCCAAGGACAGAUGGACUUUUGGGGUGAAGGAAAAGAAUUGCUCUAAAACUAGGGCGGGAAGAUCUUAAACUGCCUUAGAUUAGAGACAAGGCAGAAUUAGAAUUGACCUCAAAUAAGCCUUCCUUUAAUAUUCAGCUACUUUCAACAUCAAUGAGACUACCAAGGAGGUAUGUUUAAAUAACUUCCUACAGUUUAAAGAGUCAAUGAUAAGUUUAAUGCAAACUUGAGCACAGUUUGAGGUCAUAUAGAACAUUUUUCACAUGACCAUUAAGUGCCCAAAUCUUCCUUCCAUGUGGGUAAAAUCCCUGGCAACACAUGAUGUCAUCCUCACACUGUGGCGGCCCCAUUACAUGCAUGCAAAGAACCCAGAGAGUAAAUAAGACUGAUGGAAUGUGUUUCCUUUUCCCCUUUCAUCAUGGUUCUCUGUCAGGAGACCUGCAGCUUUGCAGGUGACUGGAAUUAAACAUGCUGCUGGCAUUGUGUUUCUCAUGUGCAAGAAAGUUUAGCAGUGAAUUCCUCCCAUAAAUAGUGUGCAGAAUCCUUGUGAAUUGACCAGAGCAUCUAGAAAUCCACUAGAAGACCUGCUUGCUCUGGCUGCUGUUUGUUUUCGAUCUAUUUCAUGUAUGUGAUGUUUGCUAAGUGAAUUUAUUUGGCUGUCAGAGGAAGCAUUUUUCUGUAGAUGGGGCAGCCAUUAGAAGAAACUAGGGGAAGCAUGCUGUGUGCCUUCACACUCAUUGCUAGAGGUCUCUGGUUGUCAUGUGCUUCCCUCCAUCCUUUUUAAUUCUGGCUUCUUUCCAGCCAUUGUGACAGCUAUUUAUCGCUCAGCUUGCAAUUCAUUGCAGCAUGCAUUAGCCAGUGUUCUGUCUGUUAUUGUUGUGGUUUCUUCAAGUUCCCACGUGAUGGGGAGAAAGGGAAAAAACCCAAACCUGUCUGGGCGCUUUAUGUCAAGGGCUGGUCUUCCUCUUCAAGUGAGAAUUAUUUUUAGAAAGUUGCUAUAGAACUCAUUUCCCCAAUCAGCAGGACUUAUGUAAAGCCAUAUGUUGGUGUGACUGCCUCAGAAAUAUUCUUUUGGGAUCCUAGAGCUGGCGGACAGUGUAUCCUUUGGGCAGGACUGCUCUGCACAUCUUCAGCCAUGCAAAGUCCCUGCAGGGGACUGCAGACAAUUUUCCAGGGGCCAUUCACUGAGGCCCCAGGAUCAAUCAGGAAGAGCCAGGAGGAUUCUACAGUGACCUCUGCUAGCAGUUAAGCUGGCGACGUGGAGUGAUCUGUUUAAUCAAUACCUUAUCUGUAUUGUCAGUUGUAAAAGGCUUAGAAAAUAAGGCAACAAAAUACUUAGUUCUGAAAUAACACGGACUGUCAUUUCACCUUUCUUUGAUUCAGAAGGUCCUUUAGAAUCUUUGUGUCCUGGGGGAGCUAGUUAAUAAUGAUUCCAGGCUAGAAUGGCUGAUAAAGAAGCCUUUAUUUGAGUUAGGAAGGGAAAUAGUGGAGCCAGGACAGGGGUGAGGGGCCCAAGUAAAGGGAGGAGUUUGUGGUCAGGGACUAGCAGUUGGCACCGUCUGUUAGCUGUUCCCCUGUCUUCCCCUCUGGGGCAAAAGCUGGGUCAAGGUAGGGCUUCCUCUGCGUGUUUUGGUCCCUCACCUAUUAGCACUCAGGUCUGUGAUGUACUGUGAGGUGCUAAUAAAUUGGAUGGUUGCUAAGAUUCAGCAAGAAACCCAGGAUUUUCAGAAAGGAUCUCCAGGGAAGGACCUGACUUUGUCUAGCCCACUGAACUCACUCAGUAUCUGGGACUCCCACUCAGAAGUGAGCUGAACGAGCACAUCCCCCAUCCCCCUGGCCUGGAGGGCUUGGCGCAUCCCUGAUUCUGGUGUCCUGACUCUGUGCCCCCUCUCAGUGCCAGCUUCCAUUCUGGGCUCCCAGGUUCAUCCUUCAAAGAAUCGAAAAUAGCAUCACAGUUUCCUUCUCUUAGAAGCUUUCUCACCCUUGACAAGCCUGUGGGACAAAUAGACCUGACCUCUGUGGCCUCUUGCCUGUCAGCCCUGAUUGAAUAUUCACUCCACAGUGUCAUGCCAGCCAUCGCUAACAAUUACAGAAGAAGGAAGUGAUGCACUCUUGGCCUUGGAGCAUCUUACCAACUUACAGGAGAGACAGAAGCAGCACAAAACAAAAUACUUGAAAAUUCAAAUGUCAGCUAGACAUACAUCAUUCAUUAUAAAUUCAGUUAAUGUAACCUGGAAACAUAUGUUUAUAAAUACGCAGAUCUGUAUGUGCAUGUGUUUACAUAUACACAGAUCUGUAGGUGCACAUGUUUUAUAUACACACACACACACACACACACACACAGGUCUGUAUUGCACAUGUUUACAUAUACACAGAUCUGUAUGUGCACAUGCUUAUAUACACACAGAUCUAUAGGUACAUAAAUUUGCUGAAAUGACUGAAGUGACUGGAGCUGGAAAAAAGUUGUUUUCUACUAAGUUUAAUUCCCUGUGAAUGCCCCUGAGGAGAGAAUUUGGGAGCAAUUUGUUGAUUUGGGGGCAUACUGGAAACAGCAUUAGGAAGAAAGGGAAAGGUUGUGGCCAGUAGAGUGUGUGGAGCUGGUCUAGCUGAGGAUGACAUGGACGCUAGGGCCCACGCCUGCGGGGCUUCUGGGAGCAGCUAAGGAGAUACACUCAGAACCCUCCCAGGCUCUGUCACCCUCUGGUUGAGGACUCUCCUCAGGACGAGGUGACACCCAGAGAUUCCUGGGCUGCUGUGCCCAGACAGAUUUUGGAGAAAACCUUCAUGCAAAGAGAUGCAACCACUGGCAGUUAGAAGGUGGCCUGGGAAAGGCCCGAGAGGUGAGGGUCGGACCCCUGGCAGCCUCUGCCACAUUCGUGGUGGUGGUGAGAGCAAUGGCCUAGAAAGGUGAGAUGGGAGGUGAACACUGAAGAAACUGUGGUCUAUGAUGACCUGAAUCAGCAGUGGGUGAUACAAGCCAGGACCACAGGCUUUCCCUUGCAAGUUCCCCCAUGGUGUGUGAUCCAGCUGCAGAGGGAAGGGGGUCCAGGCUCUUGGCUGCAGCAGACAGAAUGUGGGAGGCAUUUGGAGUCUGAGGAUUCAGGCUGUGGUGGCUGCUCUGAGUUAGAACACUGUAUGACUCACUGGCUGGGUCUGGGCAAGAAGUCAUAUCAGGUCAAGAGGAUAGGCUGACCACACGUGGGUUGUGAGGGUGUCACUUCCUCUGUGUCAUGACGUCCUGAUUCCUCCACAGGGACCAUUGCAGAAGAGCAAGAGCACAAUGUGACUGGGGAGGUGGUAGGUCAGCAUGUCCUCCUGCCACUCAGCUGGUUAAGGAGUUGAUUUAAUACACAUUUUACAUGACAUGGAGCCUUCCUAAGGACAUGAAGACUGGAAGAAACAGACCUGUAUUUCUGUGCCAGGUGUGGUGAAGGGCAGGCCUUCUUGGAGGAAUGUGACACCUUAGGAGUAUGAGUAUCUGAGUGACAGGAUCUGCUCCUCGGGAGAGUUGGGGCGAGGCUGGCUGAGGUUCUCAAGGCGCUGAGUUUUGCGUUCAGGUGCCCGACCAGCAGUGGAACGAUGCUUCCUGGCCUUUCUGACCUUUGCGUGACCUCUGGGCGCUGCUCUUAGAAAUCACAUCAAGCCUCCCAUUGGCUGCCCAGAGGGAUCCUCUGGACAGGUGGCAGAGAGAUCAUGGCCUGAGAGGUGACGUUUAUCCCGAUGCGCUCAUGACAGCAUCGCAAAGAUUCCACGCCGCCAGCUGCUCCGGCUUGAAGCCACCCUCCCGGAGAGGCGGCAGGAGGCAAGCCUGGAGGAGGCUCCGCUUUUUGGCAGAGGACGGACCCACCUUCUCAGGUGUCCUGGGAUCUAAUGAGGCACCACGAGGAGGAUGCUGGUCCCACGACAGAGCACAGCAGCUGGAACCGAGAAAUGCCCAGAGUGGGACUCAAACCCAGCACCCUUCAGACAGGAGCUCUCUGAGCCGCAGUUCCUGAUUGGACUGUGUCUGCUUUGUUAUCAUUGAAUUGACACACAGUUUUGCAUGCUUUUGAAUGGUUGGGUUGGCUUCCCCCUGACCUCCUGUAUUUUUUUCUUUUUCUUUUCCCUUGGCCCUGGGGAUUGGAAGAAAAGAAUUGCCUUGGAAAACAUAAUUCUGUUGCUGAAAUUAACCUUGUUUAUGAACCAGUUCUGUCCCUAGGGAUUUUCAAAAUUGCAAUCCCAGGUUACCUAGUCAGUGGGGCUGCAUGGUUUGAUGUUGUGUAGUACUGAUCCUUAGAUGAAAAAUGCAUUUUCCAUCUUCCCUCUUUUCAACAUUUGGAUCCAGGUAAUGGCCCGAGUCCCAUUUGCUUAGCUACUGGAGCGAUCUCAGUGCCGUAUUGCUUGGAGUUGAAGUGUAAUCAAACAUAUUAUACCUGGGGCUUUUGCACGCCAUUCGGUGUAAAUGUUACUCGACAAAGGAACACGAACCUUGUAGGGUGAAAUUUAAUUCCUGUCUGGUACUGCAGCUAGAAUGGGGGAGAAAUUAUAAAUAUCAGAAGUGGCUUCAAAGUGCUUUGAAUGUAAACUACCCAGCAGUCAGUGGUUGAUCUUCUAAGGCAGAGCAGGGACCAUGGAUCACCCACCCCUGCCAGCAGUGUUGGUCCAGUGUCCCUUCUGGAGGAAUCUGUGGACGAGGCCCGCUUCUGUGUUUGGGUUGGUGGAGAUUGUUUCUGACCUGUGCUCUGUAACCAUGCCUGCCUUGAAAUAAAACACCUUCCAUUGAC
rnacentral:lncRNA from 1 species